rnacentral:lncRNA from 1 species
UUUUAUUUGAUUUACAUUCACAUAGACAUAAGUACGAUGGUCUUGUCUUGAACACAACAUCAUAAGUAACAUAAAGCAUUGAAGUGCAAGAGCAAAGACUACUGAUUCAUUGCUAGGAAGUUGUAAACAUGACAAUGCAAGAAAACACAAAGCAGAAUCUCUUAUUAUUUAAGCAGUAAUAAGAUAAGAGAGGAUAUUGCAUGUUCUAGGCAUGGUUGUUGUCCUCCACUGGAGGAUACUUCCCAUAAGGUGGUUUCUUGUAUGGUGGCUUUUCGUAUGGUGGCUUGUAGUAAGGUGGUUUUGGCUUGUAAAUAGGAGGCUUGUAAAUUGGAGGCUUGUAAAUUGGAGGCUUGUAAUAGAUGGGAGGCUUGUAAAUGGGAGGCUUCUUGAUUGGUUUGUAAUAAGUAGCAAAACCUUGAGGAAUGAGGAUUAGGGCAGCAAGAACAAACACCAGAAAGCUUGAAAAGGAAGCCAUGUUAAAGAUUGGUGUGCAUAACAGACUGAGUAAUGUGUUCAUAUAUAUAGUAGUUAGGAGGGGUCAUUGUAGGUGUAAGGUCUAAAUCUAGGUCAUUAAUGAUUUGCUUUGUCAUAUUAUGGUAUUUGCCAAAGUUCGGUGUGAUUAUUCAAAAUUGAUUUAGAAAUUAUACAUUGAUAUACACAAAUAUUUUACAUUCAUUUAAUACUUGUUAUUUUUUACUCAAUUGUGCUAAAAAAUAUUUUUUAUAGUAAUUAAAAUCCAUGAGAUAUAAAAAAUGAAGCAGUGACACUAUUAUAGAUAUGAAAAGUUUUUUUAUUUGGAUUGGACUUAGAACUGAUGUAAAAAGUGGCUCAGUAACAAAAUUGUAAUAAAUUACAAUUUUUUUAUACCAAUUACACUCAUAAUUGAAUAGAAAGUCGAUUUUCUAUACUAGUUAGACUUAGAACCGAUAUAGAAAGUGUGGUGGUAACAAAACUAUAAUAUUAAACAAACUUUUCUAUAUUCAUUGCAAUCAGAACAAAUAUAGAAAGUUGUUUUUCUAUCCUGGUUAGUCAAUAUAACCGGGAUAUAAUAUUUAAUAUUCAUCUCCUUCUUCUUUUUGCGCUUCAAUUUCGCAAAACUCUUUUUCUUGUUCUCUCUAUGCUUCACCUUCAUUACUUUUCGCUCUCUCUGUGCUUGGCUUCCAUUCAUUCUUGGUCUCUCUACGUUUCCAAUAGUUCACUAAAGUCGCUUGUGCUAUCGUUUGUGGUUGUUGUUUUUGUCAUCGCUGUGGUCGUUGUUUGUUGUCGAUUUUUUAGUCGCGGUGGUUGUUGAAGUUAUCACUGUUGUAGGUCAAGUUGUGGUUCAUCUUUGUCAUCAAUGGUUGGUAUUGCAGUGCCUAUUUUCAUGGAGGUUGGAGUCGUUGUUGUGGUGUCAUUGUUAUCACUGCAUUUUUUCUUCCUCUUGCGUUGAAGCUUUCUUGGUUGCGUUGUUGGUGUUGUAGUAGUGUGGUGAGUAACACUAAAGCUUCCUUGUGUGGUAUGGUAGGUCGUUGCACGUGGUGUUUUUUUGAUCGUUUUGUUGUGGUUCUUGGCAAAUUUUAAACCUUAAUUUACUAUUGUUGAGGAUGUUGUGUUUUGACGUAUUUAUUGUUACAUUGCAUUCGUUGGGAGGAAAAUUUAAUAUUGUGAGGUUUUCCAUUUUUUGGAGCUUUCCAUGUUUGUGUUAUUGCAUUCAAUUGGUGUGAUUACUCUUUUGUGUUAGAAUUUAUGAGAAAAAAGUGAGGUAUAAAAAUCAAUAGGUUUGAAUCUCUACAAAUGAUGAGGCUGCAAGUGAGUAGAUUUUUGGUGGUGAUCAAAAUCACCAAAUAAGUUGUAGGCAAAAGAAAAAUGGAGAUCAAUACGAGUCCUAAUUAGAAAGACUAUUUGGGAAUGAGAUAUCAAUCUCUUAAAUACGUUGAAGUGAAGCGUAUUGAACUAAAUCCAUUGAUUAAUUCUUUAUGUUGUGGUUUGGUAUGACUAAGUUCACAUAUUGGACUCAUGUUUAACUGUUUCUUAGAUCUACCUAAAAGUAGAGGUGUUGGUUUUUACAUAUAAUAAUGGAUAGGUGUUGAAUAAAUUUUAUACGCAUAACAAAUGAAUAUGGGAGCAGAGUAGAACAAUUUCUUGAGUUUGCAAAGACAAGUGUUCUAGACAAUAACAAAAGAUUUUAUUGCUCAUGUGUUAAUUGUUUGAAUGGAUGAAAACUAUCAACUGAAGUUCUUUGGGAGCAUGUUGUUCUCCUAAAGUUACACAAAAUGGACAUGACAUAGUGAAUUAAUAGACACACCUAGUGCAUCCAGAAUGCACUAAGUAUACUUUAUUGUCAAUGGUAUCAAAACACUUUGGAGUCAUAUUAUAUGCAUUUGGAGUCAUAUAAUAUGCAUUUGCAUUCUUAAGAGAAGAUUCUCGUGAUUCUUGGAUUAUAACACUGAUUCUUAUCAAAGAUUAACAUCUUUCUGGAGAACUUUCACUCGACUUAUUAAUCUGCUAGAUUGUGGCUUCCCUAUCCUUGUCUCAUUCUGCAUUCUUCUAUGAUUUAUUCAAGAGAUAGUCCUCUAUUAUACCUUUUUUUCUUAAAAAGAAUUUUUCCUCAAAUUUGUAUAACUUAAAUAUUCCUUAUCAUUUUAAGAAGUUAGAACAACUAGAAAAUGAGGUUGUGGUCAUAUUAUGCCUAUUAGAUAUGUACUUUACACACACGCAGACAAGGACACACACACACAGACUCACAAAUACACAGUCACACACACAAACACACACACACACACAUAAACACACACACACACACAUACAUAAAUGGACAUGCGCGCGCACACACAAAGACACACACACCCAGAAACACACAUACAUAGACACACACACACCCACAAACACACAUACAUAGACACACACACACACACAAACACAAACACACAUACACACAAACAUAGACACACACACCCACAAACACACAUACACACAAACAUAGACACACACUCCCACAAACACAAACAUAAACAUACACACAAACACACACACACACACACAAACAAAUUGACAUACAGAUAGACACAUACAGACACACAAGAAGUCAUCCCAAAAGAAGUCAUCCCCUUCUUAAGUGCUCAUAAAUAUAUUGUUAAAAGAAAGAAAUAAUCCACGAAUACUUCAGAAGUUGGUUAUUAAUGAGCACAACAAAACCUUUUUAAAGUGGUUCAAACAACAUGUUCAAGCUUACCAUACAACCUCUGACACAUUAAAUUGAAUACCAAGUGAACCAAACUUUGAUGUCAUAUGUUGGAGUGGGUAUGAUAUGAAAAAUUAUACAUUUCAUACAAAGAAAAUGAAAAAAAAAACACCACUCACAAUAAUGGAGUAAUAGUUGUGGUUGAGUCAAUGCAUUUCUUGAGUUCAAAGGAUAAAAAUCCUUUUAUGGCAUCAAUGUGCUACUUUCGUGUUAUGGAAGAUAUUUGGGUGAUAGAUUACACAAGUUUCAGAGUACUUAUUUUUAAAUGGGUUGAUUGUAAUAUUGGCAUAAGGACCAAUGAUCUAAGUUUUACAUUGUGCAGAUAUUACAAUUCUUGUUGCUUUCUUGAUGCCUUGGAGAUUUCUUGAGACCUUUGAAUGUUUCUUGUUGUGUACUUGUACUUAAACUCAAUGCUUUGUUAGAAUAUUGCAAAUGAAAUUCGUAAUGAGACAGGUUUCAAUAUAGAUAUAUAUAGGAUAUGACAUUCUGGUGUAGUUUAAUUGAUUAGAUAAAAACCUUAAUCGAUUAAGCCGAAGUUUAUGUUUCAAUGACAUUAUGGUGCAGUUUAAUCGAUUAGGUAAAACCUUAAUUGAUUAGGCCAAAGUUUCUGUUUUAAUCGAUUAGGUUAUUAAUGUUAUCAAUUAAAACAGACAAUUUUGUCAUUUUUUUCUUCUUAUGAGUUCUGACAUGCUUUAACUGAUUGCUAACUAACAUAAUGGAUUAAUAGCAUCAAAAUUGCAGAUUGUAAACUGUCUAACCCAGUUACAUUCAUCUAUACAUGAUAUAUGUAUCUAACAUGAUUUUCCUAUGAUUUUAAACAUUGAUCCAUCAAGAAAGAACAUAUGAUUAAUUCAUCAUCAAAAACAUUUUACCAAAUUUAGAAGGGAAAAGCUCCCCCUUUCAACACUAACCGGUAUAAAAAGUUACUUUUUAUAUACAAAUUUAUCUCUUUCCUAAUAAACUUUUUAUAUCGGUUUCAGAUUCAGUAUAAAAAGUCAAAUACUUUCUAUACCGAUUCAAAAACUGGUAUAAAUUUUUUUUAACUCAUAUAAAAAAGCUUUUCUGAUAUAGUGACUCUUCCUUUUCUUUUUAAAAUAUAAAAGUUUAUGUUUUUAAGACUAUUUUAAUCUUAUAAUAUGUGUCAAAUGAAUAUAAAUGUAUCUUAUCCUACUAUGACUUGAUUUAGACCCUUUAGUCUUGUGUGGCAUUGUUGCAAAUCAAGAAUCUCAACAAAAUCUAUAUAUUUAUCCAUAAAGAUCUCUAAAGAAAUAUAUAAAAAAGGAAAACCCAAAAAUUAAUUUUUUUAUAAAUUACAAUAAUUUAUACGAGUUAGAAAUAAAAAAAAAAAUUGGUAACAAAGUUUUUUCAAUCAGUUUAAUCACUAAUUUCAUUUUUCGUAUUUUUUGUUUUAAAAGUUCUUGAAGAAAGAACUCGUACAAGAUUAAAUAUAUUUUUAAAAUGUAAAUUAAUUUAUGUAUACUAUACACAUAUAUACAGACUAUAUUACAUUUUGAUUUAUAUUUUAAUGAUAAAUUAAAAGUAUUAUUUUAAUUUAUUUAAAUACGACUACUAAUUUAAAUUCAAACAGAAAAAAUUAAAUAUAGUGGUGUUCCUUUCAAAUUAAAUUGAAACAUUCGAAACUUUUAAAUAUUAUUAAAAAUAAAAUAAUAUAUACGUUAAAAGAAGUUCUAUGAAUGUUUCUAAUCCAUAGAAUUUUAUAUGGUUUAUGAGUUGUUUUUAUCUUGUGAAUUUUUUUAAUAAAGGAUUUAUUUCAGCUGUCAGUUUUUUUAAUCCAAAUUCAUAUGGUGAAAUCCUAUAAAAUAAUACUAUAAAAUGCACUAAGACGUAUCUAAUUAACCAUAAACAUAAAGGUCUUUUUAUUCAUAAUUUUGUAGUACAAUUAAGAAGCAUAUUUUUUAUUUGAUUUACAUUCACAUAGACAUAAGUCUGAUGGUCUUGUCUUGAACACAACAUCAUAACUUACACAAAGCAUUGAAGUGAGCAAAGAAUACUGAUUCAUUCAUUGCUAGGAAGUUGUAAACAUGACAAUGCAAGAAAACACAAAGCAGAUUCUCUUAUUAUUUAAGCAGUAGUAAGAUAAGAGAGGAUGUUGUUGCAUGUUCUAGGCAUGGUUGUUGUCUUCCACUGGAGGGUACUUUCCAUAAGGUGGUUUCUUCUUGUAUGGUGGCUUUUUGUAUGGUGGUUUGUAGAAAGGUGGUUUUGGCUUGUAAAUGGGAUGCUUAUAAAUAGGAGGCUUGUAAAUUGGAUGCUUCUUGAUUGGUUUGUAAUAAGUAGCAAAACCUUGAGGAAUGAGAAUUAGGGCAGCAAGAAGUAACACCAGAAAGCUUGAAAAGGAAGCCAUUUUUAGGGUUGGUGUGUUAGCAGACUGAGUAAUAUGUUAGUAUAUAUAGUAGUAAGGAAGUUCAAUGUAUUAUGUAGGUGUAAUGUCUCAAUCUAGGUCAUUAAUGAUUUGCUUUGUCACACUUUGAUAUUUGCCAAAGUUUGGUGUGAUUAUUCAUCAUUGAUUUAGACCCUUUGGUCCCA